CGUGCUUAACACAUGCAAGUCGAACGGGUCUGCCUUGUUUUUUGCGGGGUGGGUCAGUGGCGAACGGGUGAGUAACACGUGAGUAACCUGCCCCUCACUUCUGGAUAACCGCUUGAAAGGGUGGCUAAUACGGGGUGUUCUGGCUGUGCCGCAUGGUGUGGCUGGGAAAGAUUCACUUUUGUGGUGUUUUGGUGGGGGAUGGGCUCGCGGCCUAUCAGCUUGUUGGUGGGGUGAUGGCCUGCCAAGGCUUUGACGGGUAGCCGGCCUGAGAGGGUGGGCGGUCACACUGGGACUGAGAUACGGCCCAGACUCCUGCGGGAGGCAGCAGUGGGGGGUAUUGCACAAUGGGCGGAAGCCUGAUGCAGCGACGUCGCGUGAGGGAUGGAGGCCUUCGGGUUGUGAACCUCUUUCGCCGGUGAAGAAGGUCCUGUUCUUUGUGGUGGGGCUGACGGUAGCCGGGUUAUGAAGCGCCGGCUAACUACGUGCCAGCAGCCGCGGUAAUA
rnacentral:rRNA from 1 species